GCCAGUGUGAUGCAGUGGUUUGGGUGUUGGACUGCAACUCGAGACCAGGGUUCAAUUCCCUGAUUGGUC
rnacentral:tRNA from 1 species